UACGGAGGGUGCGAGCGUUGUCCGGAAUCACUGGGCGUAAAGGGCGCGUAGGCGGCAGGCCAAGCGUGCGGUGAAAGUCCGGGGCUCAACCCCGGAUCUGCCGUGCGGACUGGUUUGCUAGAGCACUGUAGAGGCGAGUGGAAUUCCGGGUGUAGCGGUGGAAUGCGUAGAGAUCCGGAAGAACACCGGUGGCGAAGGCGGCUCGCUGGGCAGUGGCUGACGCUGAGGUGCGAAAGCGUGGGGAGCAAACAGG
rnacentral:rRNA from 1 species